UGCAUUCUUUCUUUCUAACUACACUAGACUAGAAGACUAAAGAAGAUUACAAGCCGAAGAAAGAGGAGAAGAAACGGGAGUCCGGCUGGCCCGCGUUGCAGCAGGUGUGCGUGUGAUUCGUCAGGUUGAAUGACAAGGGUUGGUGCUGGGCUCAAUGAUGGCCAGUGAAAUUAUAAUUUUACCCUUAUUGCUCCUCAAAUUUUACAAACUCUAUUCAAAAGAAUCUUUCUUUUGAAUGCCCUGUGAGUGUAAAAUAGACUCCACCGUCCCUGUACACGCCUGACAAAGAACAACUUUCCACCGUCCCUGUAUCUCUCCCUCAUCUUCUUCUUCAUUGGCCUUUCUUCCUCUUGAUCAUCCGCAUCUUCCUUCCCCGCCAUUUUUUUCUUUUUUUUUUUUUUUGUAAAUAUUGAUUGAACAAACAAGAUUGCUUCCACCUAUUAUUCUAUGGAUCUUAAUCUUGUUGGGAACUUUAACAUUAAUGUAUGCUUGAACUACUCUACACUUUGCACGGAUGAAACAAAUAAAAACCAAAUGAAGUUCAAAGGAGUUAGCUGAGCUGCCACUGAGAUGAAAAGGGGAAACAAUUGCUAGGAAAGCCUUUAGGCUUUUUGGUUGUACAAGUGCUUGCUUCAUGGUAACUGGUCAUUGGAAUUAUAAGCAUUAAGAAUAACUUCAGCACGAGGCAAUUGGCGCAUGCAUGGAUGAUUUCGUAUUUCAGUUUUGUCUUUGUGUUCUCAUACUAAUGGUGCUGUUAUAUUCAUCAUCAUUGGCUAUUUUGUUUUUUGUCUGCAGGUUCUGCUCUUCGUUCGGUGAAUAUCUAGAUAGUUUCCCUCAACAAUUGAAGGUUACGAAGCUGGAAUAGAAACUCCCAGGGGGUUGAUACAUGUACAUUUGCUUGUGAAAGUUAAAAAUGACAUAUUGAAUAGUUGUGGCUUAUUGAGGAAAAUCACAAGGAAAUACUAAAGGGAGGAGAAAAAGAUUUAGCUUUUCAGGUUAUUCUUCUAGAAGCUGUGGAUGUUGAAGAAAAGGCAAACAAUUAUCUAAAGGAAGAAAUAGUUGAAAGAGA